AAUGAGAGCGUUGGUUAAGGGGUUAUGGAGAUUUAAAGUGCCAUGCUUUGGAUGCUAAUAUAAAUCGCGUCCCAAGUGCAGGAAACAAAGUUCUGGAUGCCAAUUAAAGAAGUGUCUGGUUGUUUUUCAAACUCGCGGCCUGCUCCACCUUGCUCGACUUGACGAGUUGCAAAUGGGUUGCAGAGAUUUGCUGCAAACAAUCUGCAUGCUAUCAAGGAUAGCAUCCCGGCCCUCUGCACGCUAUCAAGGAUAGCGUCCCCACUAAAGACGCUAUUUUGACUCGCGUCUGGGUUUUCCACUCACCUCACUUCUGUAAUUUAUGGAUUUUGAGCCCUA
rnacentral:misc_RNA from 1 species